GGCCUGUAGUUUAGCCAUAGAACAUCAGCUUUGCAUGCAGAAGGUCCCAGGUUCUCCACCCCUGGCAACUCCAAACAGGCCU